CCUUUACUUCUAAGUGACAAAACUGGUGGAUUGGAUGAAUUUGGAUUGCAAACUUUGGAUCAAAAUGAACCAAGGAGAGACCAGAGUCAAUCAAUCAAGCUAAAUGCAAGAGAUAACCACCAGAGUCACAAUCACAAGGUUAUAUCAGUUACAAUGCUAGAAAAUAAUAUUGAUAGUGAUAGAAAAAUGGACAAGAAACUGUUUGAUCUUAAUACCAGGCCACAACGGAUAAAUGGUUCAACAUCAAACAACCUGGAUAAGGAUAUAUUGGGCAGUAAUAAUCAUGAUUCUAUUGGUGUUGUACCGGUAGAAUUGUUCAAACAAGAAGCUGAGAAGUAAUUAAGAUAUUACUAGAGAAUUGACUUCCAUACUUAUUUCU